rnacentral:rRNA from 1 species
CCUACGGGUGGCAGCAGUGGGGAAUAUUGGGCAAUGGGCGCAAGCCUGACCCAGCAACGCCGCGUGAAGGAAGAAGGCUUUCGGGUUGUAAACUUCUUUUAAGAGGGAAGAGCAGAAGACGGUACCUCUUGAAUAAGCCACGGCUAACUACGUGCCAGCAGCCGCGGUAAUACGUAGGUGGCAAGCGUUGUCCGGAUUUACUGGGUGUAAAGGGCGUGUAGCCGGGCUGACAAGUCAGAUGUGAAAUUCCGGGGCUCAACCCCGGACCUGCAUUUGAAACUGUUGGUCUUGAGUACAGUUGAGGUAGGCGGAAUUCGUGGUGUAGCGGUGAAAUGCUUAGAUAUCACGAAGAACUCCGAUUGCGAAGGCAGCUUACCAAACUAUAUCUGACGUUGAGGCACGAAAGCGUGGGUAGCAAACAGGAUUAGAUACCCCAGUAGUC